rnacentral:rRNA from 1 species
UGGGAAACGAUGUGGGAAGGCUCAGACAGCCAGGAUGUUGGCUUAGAAGCAGCCAUCAUUUAAAGAAAGCGUAAUAGCUCACUGGUCGAGUCGGCCUGCGCGGAAGAUGUAACGGGGCUAAGUAGUAAACCGAAGCUGCGGCAAUAUACUUUUGUAUAUUGGGUAGGGGAGCGUUCUGUAAGCGGUUGAAGGUGUGUGGUAACGCAUGCUGGACGUAUCAGAAGUGCGAAUGCUGACAUGAGUAACGAUAAAGGGGGUGAAAAACCUCCUCGCCGGAAGACCAAGGGUUCCUGUCCAACGUUAAUCGGGGCAGGGUAAGUCGACCCCUAAGGCGAGGCCGAAAGGCGUAGUCGAUGGGAAACGGGUUAAUAUUCCCGUACUUCUUACAAUUGCGAUGGGGGGACGGAGAAGGCUAGGUGGGCCUGGCGACGGUUGUCCAGGUUCAAGUGCGUAGGCUUAAGAGUUAGGUAAAUCCGGCUCUUUCUAAGGCUGAGACACGACGUCGAGC